rnacentral:lncRNA from 1 species
GCCUCGUUAAAACCUUAACUAAAACAAAACCCAAUGGGAAAAAUUCUAGAAAAAGAAAAGAGUACAUAUGUUUAGAAAUACGCCUAUUUGUUGCCUCGUUAAAAACCUUGCAAGGAAAACCCAGUGUGACAAAACCUUGUAAGGGAGAAAGAGUGCAACGCGCAUUAACUCCCCCUAAAAAGAACAUCAAUUCACAACCUUGAACCUUCACAUUCCAAUCUUGUGCACUAGCUUCAAGAAAUCGUUAGUAGAUAUUUGAU